CAAUUUUCUUUCUGACAAAAUAGAAAGCAGAGAGAGAGAGAGAGAUGAUGUUUUUUCUUGUAUAGGGUUUUGUUCCAAAAAGAUUUUAAUCUCUCAAACCCCAUGUUUGGUUUCUAAGAAAAAACGAUAGACAAAAAGAAAAAAGAUCUCUCUUUUUUUUUCCUCGAACAAGCGGAAAAUGGAAUAUAAUUCAAAUCCCAUUUCACCAUCACCAGCAACACCACAACACUCAAAAACAACACAAGAACUAGCUAUAGAAGGCCAAAAGCAUCUAGAAGAAACAAUCCAAGCUGGUUACCAAAUCCUUUCUUCUAUGAACGAUGAGCUUUGCAACCCCACUUUAUGGUCCACCAGCUCCACUGUUACGACUGCUGUGACUUCACCCAUUACUUCUAACAAUGCCCAAAACGGUGUCGUCGUCAUUACCGUCAAUGGUGAUGCUAAUGGUGCUGUACCUGAUUCCACUCAUGAGUUGAGUGGUGGUGGUGGUGUGGGUAAUGGAGCUCUUGAUGAAGCUCGGUUUCGGUAUAAGAAUUCGGUUGCUGCUCUUCGUGAUGUUCUUGCGGCAAUUCCUAAUUCUCACAAGGCAAAACCUUUUGAAACGAGUUCUCCAGCAGAUGAAGCUGAGAUUAAGAAGUUGGAAGAGCGAGCCUCCAGCCUAAGAAAGGAACUUGCAAAGAAGAACACAUAUGUCAAGCUACUCAUAGAUCAAUUACGAGAGAUCAUUACUGACAUAUCUACAUGGCAGACUCCUUGUUCUGUCUGAAGUUAGUUCAGAAAUCAUCAUUUUGAAAGGGGAUGCCUGAGAAUAGAGGACUGAGUCUUUGUGAGGUGAUGGUGUCUAUCUUGACAUUUUCUUUCUUUGCGACACUGAUAUACAUUAACUGUAGAUCUCUAGAGCUAGAUAGUAGGAAGGCGAUUCUGGGUUAGCAGAAAUUAGUAAACCAAAGAGAUUUUGAACAAGAGAGCAUGGGUUGUAUAUCUUGACGGAAAUUUCUGGUACAAGCAACUUUGAUUUUUUUUUCAUACGCAAUGACAUUCCCUGUUUGAUCACUACGUGAAGUGAUUUCAGACAUUGUUACUUUUAAUUUGUAAUGUCUGAUUUUUGUUCGCUUUGAACCCCUUGGGAAAUUGUAGCUGCAUCUCAUGAAAUAAACAAUUCAACUCCUUCACAUGGUAGCCUUACAAUAUAAAUAAAAUACUAUCCGCAGCGUGUUUUAAAUCAGAUUGCCAAGAAGUUAAUUUGAAGUUGCUUUAUUUGGAAGCACACUCUAGCUGUAAUGCUUUGCUGCAGACGCAAGGGUCUCCUAUGUAUAUGCUUGUGGUAGCCUGCUCUCUCCUUACCCAAAGAUUUACCUUUUGGAGAGCCAUGAUACGUAAUCAGGUCAAACAUUGUAUCAAGGCAAGGUGACCUUCCUAGAAACUGGAGGGCAUGUACAGUUUCUUUGGCAGCGUCAUUGAUGGCAUAUUUAAAGAGAAAUCGUUGAUGGACCUUUUGAGCAGAAAAUGUUGAUUCUCUUAUAAGCAACUGAUGUUGAAGAACAUCACCACAUGUCCUGCGUGUAGGACAGGGAGGCCCUGUAUUGUGGCCUUGCAAUCCUUUUUCUCGCAGAAAAUUAUUCGUCAAAUUUGCCUAUCCUUGUCUGCUAGCUACCUUCAGCACAGACCAAACAGAAUGAGGUCCCUUCUGCAUUUAAAUGUGGGACUGAUUUUUGCAUCUGUAUUGAUAUUGAAUGCCAACCAAAUUUUGGGUGUAAAAUUAAGGAGGUCGUGUUUGGUUAAA